AGCCCUUGACAUGUCUGGGACCGGUCGCAGAGACGCGACCUUCUCUUCGGAGCCCGGAACACAGGUGCUGCAUGGCUGUCGUCAGCUCGUGUCGUGUGAUGUUGGGUUAAGUCCCGCAACGAGCGCAACCCCCGUCCUUAGUUGCUACCAUUUAGUUGAGCACUCUAAGGAGACUGCCGGUGAUAAGCCGCGAGGAAGGUGGGGAUGACGUCAAGUCCUCAUGGCCCUUACGGGCUGGGCUACACACGUGCUACAAUGGCGGUGACAAUGGGAUGCGAAGGCGCAAGCCCUAGCAAAUCUCAAAAAACCGUCUCAGUUCGGAUUGGGCUCUGCAACUCGAGCCCAUGAAGCUGGAAUCGCUAGUAAUCGUGGAUCAGCACGCCACGGUGAAUACGUUCCCGGGCC
rnacentral:rRNA from 1 species